GCGUCGGAGGUGCUGGAGGGCGCGGGAAGACGUGGGGGUCAGGUGGGGUCCGGAUUUAUUGGGCGUAAAGAGCGGGUAGGCGGCCAGGCAGGUCCGUUGUGAAAACUCGAGGCUCAACCUCGGGGCGCCGAUGGAAACCGUCUGGGUAGAGGCCGGAAGAGGAGAGUGGAAUUCCUGGUGUAGCGGUGAAAUGCGCAGAUAUCAGGAAGAACACCCGUGGCUAAGGCGGCUCUCUAGUACGGUACUGACGCUGAGACGCGAAAGCGUGGGGAGCGAACAGGAUUAGAUACCCUGGUAGUC
rnacentral:rRNA from 1 species